CGGGACUGGGGAUAAUUCCGGAUAACGCAUAUUUGCUGGAAUGCUUUAUGCGUCAAAAGGAUUCGUCUGCCCAAGGAUGGGUCUGCGGCCUAUCAGGUAGUAGUGGGUGUAAUGUACCUACUAGCCAGCGACGGGUACGGGUUGUGAGAGCAAGAGCCCGGAGAUGGAUUCUGAGACAUGAAUCCAGGCCCUACGGGGCGCAGCAGGCGCGAAAACUUUACAAUGCGGGAAACCGUGAUAAGGGGACACCGAGUGCCAGCAUCAUAUGCUGGCUGUCCGGAUGUGUAAAAUACAUCCGUUAGCAAGGGCCGGGCAAGACCGGUGCCAGCCGCCGCGGUAACACCGGCGGCCCGAGUGGUGAUCGUGAUUAUUGGGUCUAAAGGGUCCGUAGCCGGUUUGGUCAGUCCUCCGGGAAAUCUGAUAGCUCAACUAUUAGGCUUUCGGGGGAUACUGCCAGACUUGGAACCGGGAGAGGUAAGAGGUACUACAGGGGUAGGAGUGAAAUCUUGUAAUCCCUGUGGGACCACCUGUGGCGAAGGCGUCUUACCAGAACGGGUUCGACGGUGAGGGACGAAAGCUGGGGGCACGAACCGGAUUAGAUACCCGGGUAGUCCCAGCCGUAAACGAUGCUCGCUAGGUGUCAGGCAUGGCGCGACCGUGUCUGGUGCCGCAGGGAAGCCGUGAAGCGAGCCACCUGGGAAGUACGGCCGCAAGGCUGAAACUUAAAGGAAUUGGCGGGGGAGCACAACAACGGGUGGAGCCUGCGGUUUAAUUGGACUCAACGCCGGACAACUCACCGGGGGCGACAGCAAUAUGUAGGCCAAGCUGAAGACUUUGCCUGAAUCGCUGAGAGGAGGUGCAUGGGCCGUCGC
rnacentral:rRNA from 1 species